rnacentral:rRNA from 1 species
UGCCAGCAUCCGCGGUACUACUGGGGAUGCAAGCGUUAUCCGGAAUCAUUGGGCGUAAAGCGCCUGUAGGUUGUUUAUCAAGUCUGUUGUUAAAGACUAGGGCUCAACCCUAGAAAAGCAAUGGAAACUGAUAGACUAGAGUAUGGCAGGGGUAGAGGGAAUUUCUAGUGUAGCGGUGAAAUGCGUAGAUAUUAGAAAGAACACCGGUGGCGAAAGCGCUCUACUGGACCAUUACUGACACUCAGAGGCGAAAGCCAGGGUAGCAAAAGGGAUUAGAUA